UACGGAGGGUGCGAGCGUUGUCCGGAAUCAUUGGGCGUAAAGGGCGCGUAGGUGGCCCGGUCAGUCAGUGGUGAAAGCGCGGGGCUCAACUCCGCGUCGGCCAUUGAUACUGCGGGGCUCGAGCACUGUAGAGGCAGGCGGAAUUCCGGGUGUAGCGGUGGAAUGCGUAGAGAUCCGGAAGAACACCGGUGGCGAAGGCGGCCUGCUGGGCAGUUUUGCUGACACUGAGGCGCGACAGCGUGGGGAGCAAACAGG
rnacentral:rRNA from 1 species